UUAGUUGCUGGAAAUUCGAAUCCUGUGCUGAAAAAAUGGAUUUUAGGUUGCUGAAACUGAUGUUUUAUGUUGGAAACUGUUACCUAGGUGCAGGAAUUAAAUGCCGGAUAUUGGGAAUUGAUUGUAUAUGGUGAAAAUCUAAAUCUUAAGUGUUGAAAUAUUCAUUUAAGGUUGUUAUAGCUGAAAAUCAUGUGCUACACUUGACUGUGGGAAGGAGUAUUUGAGUUAUUGUUUGUUAUUUCCUUUCAAUUUGAACUCCAUAUUCACAUGUGUGGAUUUAUGUGUUACUCGUCAGGUUCGGAAGCAACAACGAGUACCGUUACUCCACGUAGGGAGUGAGCUCGUGUCGAUACUUUUUUGGCUGGACCUCGAGUGUUUCUUUUCAGGUGCGUGACAGCACGCGGGUCCACUGCAGAGUCUAGACAGGAGUUGUGUAUAUAGUGAUCUAGCUUUUUGACUCUUUUGAUUAUGUGCCUAUUUUUGGAACUUGUAUAUGUUGUAAAUACCCGUGGGCACGUCUUGUAUGACAGUUGUUUCCGUAUAUAUGCAAGUUAAGUUUU